AGGGUGCCAUCUUGGGCGGCUGCGGCGGCCAUUGGCGGCGCUCGCGGUGGUGACGCUGCGUUGUGCGGCUCGGACAAAAUGGCGGCGCCCAGGCGGCCGCGUGGGGAGAAGGAGCAGGAGGAGGAUGAUGCUUUGUUAGAGGCUAAGCGCGUCCGCGGACAGCGACGGCUUCUGGUGGUGCUGGAAGGGGCGAGCCUAGAGACAGUGAAGGUGGGGAAGACGUUCGAACUCCUUAAUUGCGACAAGCAUAAGGCGCUGCUGCUGCGGAGCGGCCGGGACCCCAGAGAGGUGCGGCCCGACAUCACCCACCAGAGUCUUCUCAUGCUUAUGGAUAGCCCUCUGAAUCGGGCUGGUCUUCUGCAAGUUUACAUCCAUACCCAAAAGAAUGUUUUAAUUGAAGUUAAUCCUCAGACCAGGAUCCCAAGAACGUUUGAUCGAUUCUGUGGUCUUAUGGUUCAGUUGCUGCAUAAGCUUAGCGUUCGAGCAGCUGAUGGUCCUCAGAAAUUGUUGAAGGUUAUUAAAAAUCCAGUCAGUGACCAUCUACCUGUGGGCUGUAUGAAGAUAGGUACCUCUUUUGCAGUUCCAAAUGUGACAGAUCUGCGUGAACUGGUUCCUACAGCAGAGCCAGUAACUAUUGUUGUGGGAGCUUUUGCCCACGGUUCAGUCAAUGUGGACUAUACAGAAAAGAUGAUCUCUAUCAGCAACUAUCCCCUCUCUGCUGCCCUCACAUGUGCUAAAAUUACUACUGCCUUUGAGGAAGCCUGGGGAGUAGUAUGAACUUCUGUCUCUGCUGCUGUCAUGAUGGACUGCUAUACAGUGACUCCAGAUUCUGGAGAGGCUUUUUUUAGUUCUUUGUGGACCUGGUGCAGCUUUGGGCUCCUGAAAAGGAAAAGCUUCAGUUUCUUCUUUGUAGCUCCUGGAGCAAUGCAACUUUACAUGGAGGUGCCCCACCAACCUUUUUUCCUCCUAUUAAAGUUUGUGAUGACUGCAUGGACACUGAAUGCUGGAUCGGCCUGUACAGGAGGUGAGAAACAAAGACACCUGAAGUAGUAUUAAGAGACUGUAAUAAGUGUUCUGUCCUCUUCCACACACUGUGCUGUGUGACUUCUGUCACUAUGUAAUCUUCUCUAAUAACAGGGCCAGAACAAAUGGCAAAAAUCCAAGAAGAUAUGACAUGACUCAACAAAAGAAAGGAAGAUGGGAACUGAGAUCCAGUGCUGAUGGUUUCCACAUUAAGGGAAUACUACCCACAAGACACAGAGCAUUGGAGAUGGGGAAUCUAAAGCAACAGAUUUGGGGAAAGCAGAUGAUCACUGGAAUAGCAAACAAGAGGAAGGGAAGUGUAUUUGUGUUCUACUCACCAGAUCUUUUCCUCCAUCAUAGUAAUCAAUGGCCAAGCCUGGAGAUGAGAAACAAUCAUUUGAAGAUUUAUGAUGGACUAUUUGGGCUAAGCAAGCAGUCCUCUUCCCUGAGGCAUGGCUUACAGAAUGCAAAAUAUAACAAGGUAGCAUUGCUUACCAAUUAACUUGAGAGUCAAGACACAAUGUGGCAUUGUCCACUUGAUGUCAUAGUGCUCUGUGGCUGUGAAGUAAUAGCCAGCCAUAAGGUACGUCUGAAAGAAAUAAUUAUUUGGGUUAUUUAAAGCAAACCUCCAGCAGUUUUUGAUCUGUUUUCAUUUUUCCACCUAUAUUUGCUACUGAGAACUGCAAAAAUGAACAGAAAGCCCUUUCUACAAACUGAUGCAAACUGACAUAAAACUUCCUUAGGAGGAAGUUUAUCACACAGAAGGUGGUGACACACUGGAACAGGUUGCCCAAGGAGGCUGUGGAUGCCCCAUCCCUGGAGGCAUUCAAGGCCAGGCUGGAUGUGGCUCUGGGCAGCCUGGUCUGCUGGUUGGCCACCCUGCACAGAGCAGGGGGGCUGAAUGAUGUUUGAGGUUCUUUUUUAACCCAUCCCAUACUAUGAUUCUAUGAUUCUGUGAUGCAGUAAGAAAGAGAAUUUUACCAUCUGAAAGACAAACGUGGUGAAGAUGGCAGUGACUGUGCGACCCAUAAGUCUCAGGAUGAGAAACUGUAUUAGAACACAUAGCAGUGAAUGAAAGAACUGCAUCCCUGUAGAGAGAGAGAGACGAAGCAAAAAUGAGAUUUUCCCACUGCAGGUCCUCCCAAACUGCAGCAAUCUCUGGGCCUAGUAGCUCUCUCUUCCAAAGCUCAUCUUACCAAAAUUGAAGUAAGCAAUUGAGAGUCCUGUGAACACAUUGUAGAGAUGAACGAGGUAGGUCUCCUUCUGGAAGAGGAAAUAGCGCUGGAACAAGGCAAAAGGAUAUCCUGAAUAGAGGGGGAAAAGAUGGAAGAGUUGUAAAUUAGUGUAAGCAAGCAGCAGCAUUUCUAAUGGUCCAGAUUAUAGCUUUAUUGAACACUUUACUAGGAAUAUGCACUUGAUGUAGAUACAUCACCAAUACAGGCCAUGGUAUAAUUGCUGAUACUGUAUUUCCAUCUAAGGGGAUAAAUGCUAGAUGACUUAGUGGAGUUUCUGGCCUUAUACACUACAAGAGGAGGGACAGUGCUGAAAUACAUAUAUCAGACUUUGGUGGACUACUCUCUCACUCCUCCAAAUUCUGUGACAAACACGGCGAAUAUUACAAGGGAAGGGAAGAUAAAUUUUAUAAAUGGCUUAUACCAUCGCACUGAUCUUGAAAUUCAGUCCCUGCUCCCCCUCAGUGACCUCUUAUAUGAUGCUGAGUAACCUUAUGGUCAAUGGCUCUAUGUCCAGGUAGAGGCUGGUGACAAGUAAUGUCCCCCAGGGGUUUGUCUUGGGACCAGUACUCUUUAUCAUGGACAUAAACGAUGGGAUUGUGUGCACCUUCAGCAAGUUUGCAGAGUCACUAAGCUGAGUGGUGCUGUUGAUACGACAGAAGGAAGGGAUACCAUCAAAAGGGACCUAAGCAAACUCAAAAGGUUAACCUAAUGAGAUUCAACAAGGUACUGCACUUAGGUCAGGGAAAUUCCAGAUGUGUGUAUUGAGUGGGAAAAGAACUCCUUGAGAGCAGCUCCACCAAGAAUAACAUAAGGGUCCUGGUUGACGAAAAACAACAUGAACCAGCAGCAUAUACUCGCAGCCUGAACGGCUAACAGUACUCUGGACUUCAUCAAAGAGGGGUGGCUGGCAGGGUGAGGGAGACAAUUGUCUUCUUCUGCUUUGCCCCCAGUAGAUCCAUCUGGAGUACUGUGUCCAGGUCUGGGGCACAAGAAAAACGUGGAGAUUUUUGGAAUGGGUCCAGAGGAGGGAAAUGAAGAUAUCAGAGAGCUGGAACACCUCUCCUACAAAUACAGGCUGAGGCAGCUGGACUUGUUCAGCCUGGGGAAAAGAAGGCUCCAGGGAGACCUCAUUGUGGCCUUCCAGUACUUAAAGGGAGCUUACAGGCAGGAGGGAAAUCCACUUUUUUUGACAAGUAAAUAGGGACAGGACAAUGAGGAAUCAUUAUAAACUAAAAGAGGAGACAUUUAGAUUAGAUGUCAAGGGGAAAUUUUUCAUUGAGAGGAGUGAGGUGCUGGAACAGGCUGCCCAGAAUUUGUGGAUGUCCCACCCAUGGGGGCAUUCAUUGCUAGCAUGAAUGAGAUCCUGGGCAGCCUGAACUAGCGGGUGGAAAUCCUGCCCUUGUCAGGAACUGGAUGGGCUUUCAGGUCCUUUCCAACCAAACCCAUUCUAUGAUUCAGUGAUUUUGUGAUGUUUAAUCCCAGUGCUCCCCAGGUGACCUCCAGUCAUACAUAAUUUCUUUUCUGACUCUUACUUUAGAUUUGCAUUUGAUUUGUUAAGUACUGUGUAUACAAAACCUGUAACUAAAGUCCACUGAGACUACACAUGCAGUAUUUUGAAAAGUUAAAGUAAGAAGCAUUUCCUAUUAAGUAGCUAAGAUAAGUGGAAGGAGGUUUUUCCUUGCGUUUCCUAUAGUUUAGAAUGUGUUCCAAUUUAGGAAUGACUCCAGAUUAUUAUCUGUGGCUCUAGUGAGAAGUUAAGUAUUUGUGAAGCACUUCAGUAGUACAGUGAGAUGGGCCAUACAAUCUCCCAAGAGUAAAUUAAAUUGUUGUCUUAAGGGUUCAGGUGAGGGUCAUGAAGCAUACAAUAAACACUGCCACUCACGAGACAAUAAAUGUGUUUUAAUACAUA